UUCAUUUAGAAUCCUACUCAAAAUUUCCUUCCACUUAAAUUUUUUUAAGAUUUCCACAAAUAUACAUCAUGAUUUUCCUUAGAGGGAGAUCUAGCAAGUAAAAAAGUAAUUCUUUCUUGAUUUCCUUUCUCAGAAUGUCUUUUAUUUUUAAAUGUGAUGGUAAAAAUUAUACUAAAAAUGCAUUUAUCAGGACUUGAAAGGCAGUGAGAGUGAUUCAAGCUCGGAGGAGGAACGGAGAGUCACUACCCGAGUUAUUCGCCGACGUUUGAUUAUAAAGGUAUCCCAAAGCUAGAUCAGUGUGGGGCAAUGCUGUAUUACUAGAACCUUCCUUGUGGUUUGGAAAAUUCAGCAUGCUUGGUAACUAAACAGUGCUGUGUGUGUUGGCAUAU
rnacentral:lncRNA from 1 species